AUUGAACGCUGGCGGCAGGCCUAACACAUGCGAGUCGAAUGGUAACAGGAAACAGCUUGCUGUUUCGCUGACGAGUGGCGGACGGGUGAGUAAUGUCUGGGAAACUGCCUGAUGGAGGGGGAUAACUACUGGAAACGGUAGCUAAUACCGCAUAACGUCGCAAGACCAAAGAGGGGGACCUUCGGGCCUCUUGCCAUCAGAUGUGCCCAGAUGGGAUUAGCUAGUAGGUGGGGUAACGGCUCACCUAGGCGACGAUCCCUAGCUGGUCUGAGAGGAUGACCGGCCACACUGGAACUGAGACACGGUCCAGACUCCUACGGGAGGCAGCAGUGGGGAAUAUUGCACAAUGGGCGCAAGCCUGAUGCAGCCAUGCCGCGUGUAUGAAGAAGGCCUUCGGGUUGUAAAGUACUUUCAGCGGGGAGGAAGGGAGUAAAGUUAAUACCUUUGCUCAUUGACGGUACCCGCAGAAGAAGCACCGGCUAACUCCGUG
rnacentral:rRNA from 1 species